AACGAACGCUGGCGGCAUGCCUAACACAUGCAAGUCGAACGAGAGCUUCGGGUCUAGUGGCGCACGGGUGCGUAACGCGUGGGAACCUGCCCUUAGGUUCGGAAUAACUCCCCGAAAGGGGUGCUAAUACCGGAUAAUGUCUUCGGACCAAAGAUUUUUCGCGUUUGGAUGGUCCCGCGUUGGAUUAGCUAGUUGGUAGGGUAAAAGCCUACCAAGGCGACGAUCCAUAGCUGGUCUGAGAGGAUGAUCAGCCACACUGGGACUGAGACACGGCCCAGACUCCUACGGGAGGCAGCAGUGGGGAAUAUUGGACAAUGGGCGAAAGCCUGAUCCAGCAAUGCCGCGUGAGUGAUGAAGGCCUUAGGGUUGUAAAGCUCUUUUACCCGGGAUGAUAAUGACAGUACCGGGAGAAUAAGCUCCGGCUAACUCCGUG
rnacentral:rRNA from 1 species